CCUUGGGUUCUUUUGGAUGAGGCACCCACGGUUUCGCCACAAGGUGCCUGCAGCGCCGGUAAACUUCUUCAGGAGGCUACCUGCAAAGACAGAUUCUUUGCUGUAAAGGACCUCAGAGAUCAGCUACUAAUGUUGUGUAAUACACUUCUUUGUAUCUAUUUUCUGUUGUCAGUAUAUUGUUGUAUUAUAGCAUCAGGUAAAUUAUCAUAAUAUGUAAUUGCUGUACCAUGUGGAACAAAAUAAGGCGAGUUCAUCAGAUAAUUUUGUGGUCAAAAGUUAAGAGAUUCAUUCUUUAAGCUGUAUAGUACAAGAUGUUCAUAAGAUGUUUGUACAAAAAAAGAGAGUUUCUAUGACCAACUAACCAAGUCAAGUUUGUCAUGCUCAAGGUAUAAGAGCAUUACAAGGUAAGCAUGAAACUGAGGUUCAUGAGAUCCUCCGCAUGUGCAUAUUUUUCUAUGUUGAACUGGAUGAAAGUUUUAUACACUUCUGCUAGCAUACAAAUUUUUAAUCUCUGAGCAUAAAAACUUUGCUGUAUUAUGAAGAUGGGCAUCAGAACCUUACUGUAUCAAGAAUCAAGAUAUGUUGUUUAUCUUGCAGGUCGCAGCAUGACUACAAACAAUUAAAUAAGAAAUCAUUCUUUGCACUUGUUUUGAAUAAGCAGCUUUACUCUCCUGGGCCUGAAGAGCAUAAUGGACAACUGACAUCAACAUCAAUAGUGAAGAGCUAAUCUAAAAAUAAUUGAUAUUAUACUGAACUCUUAUCGUUAUCAGUACAACCCCGUGACAAAUUAUCAGGCACAUGAAGUCCUCCAAAGAGUGAUAGAAUGAUUUGUUACCUUAUUUCAUAUGAUUUUCUAUUAGAAGCACUAACGGAACAUAUGAUAUUUUUGACUCAACAAAUUUACUGUACAGUCAGGGAAACUUUCGAGACAGCUGAAAACAAAUGGACAAUAUUUCUCAUUAACUUUGUUGAACACAGACAUUCAAGAUUUGUUCUAUACAAAAAGAAGAACAAAAUUUAGAUAAAACAGAUUUAUCAAUUCUUUACUAUGGUUUGGAGCAAACAACAAAUGACUCCACUUGGUACGACGGGGUCCUUAUGCCCUUAUACCACGGAGUAAAAUUGUAAGUCUUACUGGUACACUAUCAAGUUGCAAGAUUUGAACAUAGUACAAAGAUAAGCACAAAGCAACAUAGGUAAUGGAAAACAUCUGGAAGUGAUAAGAUGACUUCUUUGACACAAUUUGCACAGAUCACACUAAAUUGUGUCCAAGAAAAAAG
rnacentral:lncRNA from 1 species